GACCACUCCAGUGGCCUAGUGGUUAGUGUGUCCACCUCAGAUGUGGGAGGUCAUGGGUUUUGAUCCCCAGCUGAGUCA